AUCUCAUCUUCCUCUCUUGCUUGGUGUUUUUUUGUCUACAGUGCAGAUUUCUUUUGUUGUGUGAUUUUUUUUGUGCUGCAUUUUCGUUAGUCCCUGAAGCCUUGUAACCAUCGAAGCCCACCACUUGUGACACUGUCGUUCGCCAGUGACGAAACUGAUAGAGGUCGUUUUCAAGGUAUAAAUAAUAUGCUGCAGGAGUCAGGUAAGCGGAGUUCCUAUGCUAGGCUUUAUACAA